ensembl:snRNA U6 U6 spliceosomal RNA
GUGCUUGCUUCGGCAGCACAUAUACUAAAAUUGGAACAAUACAGAGUAGAUUAGCAUGGCCCCUGCACAGAGAUGACAUGCAAAUUAAUGAAGUGUUCCAUAUUUCU